AUGACACUCAAAUUAGAGCUAUCAGAGGAAGAGGAGAAGAUCUUCCUACGGCUUCUUGAUGUCGUCCGUCACUACCGCCUUGGCACUACGCUUCGCGUCGCCGGUGGCUGGGUCCGGGACAAGCUACUAGGGAAACAACCUACUGACAUUGACAUUGCCCUUGAUAAUAUCACGGGCCAGGAUUUCUCCAAGAAAGUAGAUGCCUACCUAAAGCUCAUAGGGGAGGGGGACAAGAAACGAGGAACCAAAGUUAUCCCGUGCAAUCCGGACAAAUCCAAGCACUUAGAAACUGCUAAGACGUACAUGUUCGACAGAGAAAUUGAUUUUGUUAACUUGAGGUCUGAAAAAUAUGCAGAAAGCAGCCGCGUUCCCACCAUGGAGGGCGCCACUCCUGAAGAAGAUGCCCACCACAGGGACCUAACAAUUAAUAGUUUAUUCUUCAACAUCAACGACAACAUUGUGGAAGAUUUUACUAAAAGAGGUAUUGACGAUCUCAUCAAGGGCCUUAUUGACACUCCUCUAGAUGCCAAAGUUACCUUCUUGGAUGACCCACUUAGAGUUCUUCGGGCAAUUCGAUUUGCCGCUAGAUUCAACUUUACGUUAUCCGAUAGGUUGAAAGAAGCUGCUUCGGACGAAAAGGUGAAGUUGGAACUUGCUUGCAAGAUCAGCAAAGAACGUGUUGGGAAGGAGAUUGAUCUUAUGAUGUCAGGUGAACACCCAGUCGAUGCAAUGUCUUACAUUCGUGAUCUGGGGCUAUUUCAUAUUGUAUUUGCUUUACCCAAAAAUUGCAGCCCUCCAGUUUUUGACAAUUGUGAUCGGUGUUGUGUUUCACACAUUGAAUCAGCUUGGAACUUUGCAAUUUCAGUGCACGGCGGUGUUUCUCAUCGCAUGCUGCUGGAUGAACAGGAAAAGCUUUACCUCUAUAGUGCACUCUUUUUUUCCCUCCGAAAGAUGUUCUACUUGAUUAAAACAUCUAAGAAGAGUGCUGUCACUAGCUAUAUUAUUCAGGAAUCAUUAAAGCUGCCAGCAUGUGUUGCUAAAUCGGUUCUCGAUGUGCAUGUUGCCAGUGGAAAGUUUGCUGAUCUAGUGCUCCUCUUUGAAUCAAAUGUCGCUUCGCGAGCUGUCAGGGAGGAGGUGAAAGAUGUAUAUCAUGAUAUACCAAUGGACAUAUGGAAGCGUGUUUAUGCAGGAGUCGUACUUAAUGAAAUAAAGGACUUAUGGCAGGUGGCACUUGCUAUAUCCAUCAUCUUUUCUCCAGAAAUUGAAAAUGCUGGCGGCACAAUGAGCCAGCAGCAGGAUGAGCUGCAUCGGAGAAAAGAGCAGUACACGAGAGUUGAGUGUUCCAUAACUGAUCUAGGUCUCAGUGAGGUGUGGAAAUUGGAGCCGUUGGUCAAUGGCAAGAUCAUAAUGCAAAUUAUGCAGAAGUCAGAAAGUCCACUGAUCGGAGAAUGGAAAAGGCGUGUGUUCAAGUGGCAGCUUGCGCAUCCUGAAGGAAGCAGGGAUGACUGCGUCGAUUGGUUGACAGGAUCGCAAUUGAAACGCUAG
rnacentral:rRNA from 1 species